UUUUGAUUAAUAAUUUAAAGUCUAAUCUGCCCACUGAUAAUAUAUUAAAGGGCUGCAGUAUUUUGACUGUACAAAGGUAGCAUAAUCAUUAGUCUCUUAAUUGGUGACUUGUAUGAAAGAUUUGAUGAAAUAUAUACUGUCUCUUUUUAAUUUAUAAAAUUUAAUUUUUUAGUUAAAAAGCUAAAAUUUAUUUAAAAGACGAGAAGACCCUAUAGAGUUUUAUAUUUAUAUAAAUUAAAAUUUUUUAUAAGAUUUAAAAUUUUAAUUUAUAUAAAUAUUUUAUUGGGGUGAUAGAAAAAUUAGAAUAACUUUUUUUAUAAUCUUACAUUAAUAAAUGAAUAAAUGAUCCGUAAUUUACGAUUAUAAGAUAAAAUUACCUUAGGGAUAACAGCGUAAUUUUUUUUUUUAGUUCAAAUAAGAAAAAAAGUUUGCGACCUCGAUGUUGGAUUAAGAUAAAAUUUAAAUGCAAAAGUUUAAAGUUUUUGAUCUG
rnacentral:rRNA from 1 species